GUAAAUACCUUAACGAGGAACAAUUGGAGGGCAAGUCUGGUGCCAGCAGCCGCGGUAAUUCCAGCUCCAAAAGCGUAUAUUAAAGUUGUUGCAGUUAAAAAGCUCGUAGUUGAACCUUGGGCUUGGUUGGCCGGUCCAUCUUUUUGGAUGCGUACUGGACCCAACCGAGCCUUUCCUUCUGGCUAGCCUUUUGGCGAACCAGGACUUUUACUUUGAAAAAAUUAGAGUGUUCAAAGCAGGCCUUUGCUCGAAUAUAUUAGCAUGGAAUAAUAGAAUAGGACGUUAUGGUUCUAUUUUGUUGGUUUCUAGGACCAUCG
rnacentral:rRNA from 1 species